rnacentral:rRNA from 1 species
GACGAACGCUGGCGGCGUGCUUAACACAUGCAAGUCGAGCGGUAAGGCCCUUUCGGGGGUACACGAGCGGCGAACGGGUGAGUAACACGUGGGUGACCUGCCUUUAGCUCUGGGAUAAGCCUGGGAAACUGGGUCUAAUACCGGAUAUGACUCCGCGGUGCAUGCUGUGGGGUGGAAAGCCUUGUGCGGCUGGAGAUGGGCCCGCGGCCUAUCAGCUUGUUGGUGGGGUGAUGGCCACCAAGGCGACGACGGGUAGCCGGCCUGAGAGGGCGACCGGCCACACUGGGACUGAGACACGGCCCAGACUCUUACGGGAGGCAGCAGUGGGGAAUCUUGCGCAAUGGGCGAAAGCCUGACGCAGCGACGCCGCGUGAGGGAUGACGGCCU